UUCCGGAGGCAUCUUUUGGAAUCCUACGGAAGGCAGCAGAGGGGAAUCUUGCACAGCCGCGAAACCAUGAUGCAGCUACGCCGCGUGAGCGAUGAAGCCCGUAGGGAUGUAAAGCUCUUUCACCCCGAGAUAAGACGGUACUGAGAAUAGCAGUGCUAUUCG
rnacentral:rRNA from 1 species